UCCCAUGCAGCUCCGCAGUAAUGCACUCUGCGGCACUCGACUCAAGUCAGGCAACCAGCUCUUCUGGUCUUUUCGCUGACCACUGUGGUCCAGGUCAACACUCCUUUCGAACUUGCAAGGUUAUCAAGGAUUUUACGUGAAGACAUUUAGUACAGAACAUUUUACAUGACUAGUAAAAGAAUAACGUAAUUGGU